GGAACCGUAGCUCAAUUCGGUAGAGCAGCUGCCUUUUAAGCAGCGAAGUGAAGGUUCGAGUCCUUCCGGUUUCACCA
rnacentral:tRNA from 1 species